AAGUAUCUUGGCCCUUGCCACACGCUGGGUUUUUCAUACAGAACCUUUAUUUCCUUGUAAAGUUUUGACUCUAAGAAGAUCUAUGAACUAUUCAUGAUGGCCAAACAUACAGCAUGUGAUUAACUGCUGUUUUGAUUUAUAGUUAUUUAAAAAAAUACAUAAAAUAUAAAAUUACAAAGUAGUCAAACUGCGGGUGGUUAGGUUAUUAACCGAACUUUGUAAAUUCCUUGAUAAAAUAGCAAAUGAUAAAAAUAAAUAGCUGUGAAAAUAAUAGCUACGUGACUAAUAUAUUAUUACCUAUUAUGUUAUCUGUAUUGUGGCUAUAUAAGAGAGUGAUUUGCUUCCCAGUCUCAUAAGCUAGCUCUCGUCUGUCCACAACAUACCUACGUUUUCAUAAUGAAGGCCGUUAUUUGUUUAUUUUUCAUCGCACUUAUUGCAAUUUCUAAUGGAGACAAGCCACAUUACGAUAUUAAUAAAGCUCCUCAAUUAUUCGAGUUGUUUAUGAAGAAUUACAAUCGUCACUACAAGAACGAGGCUGACAAAGAAGCUCAUUACCAGGCAUUUGUUGAAAAUCUGAAAACUAUCAACAGACAAAAUGCUGUAUCUUCAAGUGCAACAUAUGAUAUUAACGAAUUUGCUGACUACACACCGGAAGAACUGAAACAAAUUCAUGGUUUAUUAUCAUGAGAUAAGAAUUAGUGUACAUAAACGCUGAUUUUGUUUUAAAACAUUGGACAAGUUGAAAUCUGUCAUCAUUAUGACAACCGUCUUAUCAUGCCAAUAAAUACUGUUCUCAAA